rnacentral:rRNA from 1 species
UACGUAGGAUGCAAGCGUUGUCCGGAAUUAUUGGGCGUAAAGAGCGAGCAGGCGGUAUGGAAAGUUGGACGUGAAAAUUUUAGGGCUUAACCCUAAAGGGUCGUCCAAAACUCCCAAACUAGAGUGCAGGAGAGGAAAGCGGAAUUCCCGGUGUAGUGGUGAAAUGCGUAGAGUAUACGGGCGAGGAACACCAGAGGCGAAGGCGGCUUUCUCGGCCUGUAAACGUGGAGCGC